rnacentral:pre_miRNA from 1 species
CAAAGCCGCUGGACCCCCCCAGCGGACCAGGGACACCCGAGCAAAGCCGCCCAGGGUGUCCCUGGUCUGCUGGGCGGGUCCAGCGGCUUUG